rnacentral:rRNA from 1 species
UACGUAGGGUGCGAGCGUUGUCCGGAAUUAUUGGGCGUAAAGAGCUCGUAGGCGGUUUGUCGCGUCUGCUGUGAAAACUCAGGGCUUAACCCUGAGCCUGCAGUGGGUACGGGCAGACUAGAGUGUGGUAGGGGAGAUCGGAAUUCCUGGUGUAGCGGUGGAAUGCGCAGAUAUCAGGAGGAACACCGGUGGCGAAGGCGGAUCUCUGGGCCAUAACUGACGCUGAGGAGCGAAAGCAUGGGGAGCGGACAGG